rnacentral:rRNA from 1 species
UCCGGUUGAUCCUGCCGGACCCGCCUGCUAUUUGGGUGAGAAUAAGCCAUGCGAGUCGAAUGGGAUACCUAAAUCUCCCAUGGCAAACUGCUCAGUAACACAUGAUCAACUUACCCUAUAGAGAAAAAUAACCUCGGGAAACUGAGGAUAAUGUUUCAUAGUUGAAUAGGCUUGGAAAAGUUUUUCAAUAAAAGGGAUAAGGAAAAUGGUCCUUAUCCGCUAUAGGAUAGGAUCGUGUUCGAUUAUGGUUGUUGGUGAGGUAACGGCUCACCAAGCCGAUAAUCGAUAGGGGCCGUGAGAGCGGGAGCCCCGAGAUGGGUACUGAGACAACGACCCAGGCCUUACGAGGCGCAGCAGGCGCGGAACCUCCGCAAUACACGAAAGUGUGACGGGGUUACCCAAAGUGCUCUUUCUAGAGCUGUGGUAGGUGAGUAAUGUCCCCUACUAGAAAGGAGAGGGCAAGGCUGGUGCCAGCCGCCGCGGUAAAACCAGCUCUUCAAGUGGUCGGGAUAAUUAUUGGGCUUAAAGUGUCCGUAGCCGGUUUAGAAAGUUCCUGGUAAAAUCGGGUAGCUUAACUAUCCGUAUGCUAGGAAUACUGCUAUACUAGAGGGCGGGAGAGGUCUGAGGUACUACAGGGGUAGGGGUGAAAUCUUAUAAUCCUUGUAGGACCACCAGUGGCGAAGGCGUCAGACUGGAACGCGCCUGACGGUGAGGGACGAAAGCCAGGGGAGCGAACCGGAUUAGAUACCCCGGUAGUCC